UACGAAGGGGGCUAGCGUUGUUCGGAAUUACUGGGCGUAAAGGGCGCGUAGGCGGCCCGCUAAGUCGAACGUGAAAUCCCCGAGCUCAACUCGGGAACUGCGUCCGAUACUGGUGGGCUUGAAUCCGGGAGAGGGAUGCGGAAUUCCCGGUGUAGCGGUGAAAUGCGUAGAUAUCUGGAGGAACACCGGUGGCGAAGGCGGCAUCCUGGACCGGCAUUGACGCUGAGGCGCGAAAGCUAGGGGAGCAAACGGG
rnacentral:rRNA from 1 species